rnacentral:rRNA from 1 species
CAGUCGCCGCGGUAAUACGGAGGGUGCAAGCGUUACUCGGAAUCACUGGGCGUAAAGCGCGCGUAGGUGGUUUGUUAAGUUGGAUGUGAAAUCCCCGGGCUCAACCUGGGAACUGCAUCCAAAACUGGCAAGCUAGAGUAUGGUAGAGGGUGGUGGAAUUUCCUGUGUAGCGGUGAAAUGCGUAGAUAUAGGAAGGAACACCAGUGGCGAAGGCGACCACCUGGACUGAUACUGACACUGAGGUGCGAAAGCGUGGGGAGCAAACAGGAUUAGAUACCCCUGUAGUCCCUGUCUCUUAUAA